ACGUAGGUCUCAAGCGUUAUCCGGAAUUACUGGGCGUAAAGCGUCCGCAGCCAGAUGUAUAAGUCUGUCUUUAAAUAUCCCGAUUCAAUCGGGAAAAAGGGAUAGAUACUGUAUGUCUAGAGGACUUUAGAGGAUAGUGGAAUUUCCGGUGGAGCGGUGAAAUGCGUUGAUAUCGGAAGGAAUGCCAAAAGCGAAAGCAGCUAUCUAUAAAGUAUCUGACGGUCGGGGACGACAGCUUGGGGAGCAAACGGGA
rnacentral:rRNA from 1 species